GGACUACCGGGGUAUCUAAUCCCGUUUGCUCCCCUGGCUUUCGUGUCUCAGCGUCAGCAAACCCCCAGCAGUCUGUUUUCACCAUUGGCGUUCCAAGUGAUAUCUACGCAUUUCACCGCUCCACCACUUGUUCCGACUGCCCCUAGGUUGCUCAAGAUCGCCAGUAUGCUCAGCAGUUCCACGGUUGAGCCGUGGGAUUUCACAAAGCACUUAACGACCCGCCUACACACGCUUUAAGCCCAGUGAUUCCGCCUAACGCUCGGCACCUCUGUCUUACCGCGGCUGCUGGCAC
rnacentral:rRNA from 1 species